GAUUCUGGCUCAGGAUGAACGCUAGCGGCAGGCUAACACAUGCAAGUCGAGGGGCAGCGGGAUGUAGCAAUACAUUGCCGGCGACCGGCGGAUGGGUGCGUAACGCGUAUGCAACCUACCUUAUACAGGGGGAAUAACCUUUCGAAAGGGAGACUAACACCCCAUAGUAUUGAUUUAAGGCAUCUUAGAUUAAUUAAAUAUUUAUAGGUAUAAGAUGGGCAUGCGUAUGAUUAGCUAGUUGGUAAGGUAACGGCUUACCAAGGCGACGAUCAUUAGGGGUUCUGAGAGGAAGGUCCCCCACACUGGUACUGAGACACGGACCAGACUCCUACGGGAGGCAGCAGUGAGGAAUAUUGGUCAAUGGGCGCAAGCCUGAACCAGCCAUGCCGCGUGACAGGAAGGCGGCCUUAUGGGUUGUAAACUGUCUUUUACAUAAGACUAACCGUAUAUUUGCGAAUAUACCUGAAUGUAUUAUGAGAAUAAGGAUCGGCUAACUCCGUGCCAGCCGCGGC
rnacentral:rRNA from 1 species